rnacentral:misc_RNA from 1 species
UUUCCGUAGGUGAACCUGCGGAAGGAUCAUUACAGUGUUCUCUGCCCUCACGGGUAGAAACGCCCACCCUUGUGUAUUAUAUCCUUGUUGCUUUGGCAGGCCGCCCUCGGGCACCGGCUCCGGCUGGAUCGCGCCUGCCAGAGGAAACCCAAACUCUGAAUGUUAGUGUCGUCUGAGUACUAUCUAAUAGUUAAAACUUUCAACAACGGAUCUCUUGGUUCUG